rnacentral:rRNA from 1 species
GAACGCUGGCGGCGUGCCUAAUACAUGCAAGUCGAGCGCAGGAAGCCGUCUGAACCCUUCGGGGGGACGACGGUGGAAUGAGCGGCGGACGGGUGAGUAACACGUAAAGAACCUGCCCAUAGGUCUGGGAUAACCACGAGAAAUCGGGGCUAAUACCGGAUGUGUCAUCGGACCGCAUGGUCCGCUGAUGAAAGGCGCUCCGGCGUCGCCCAUGGAUGGCUUUGCGGUGCAUUAGCUAGUUGGUGGGGUAACGGCCCACCAAGGCGACGAUGCAUAGCCGACCUGAGAGGGUGAUCGGCCACACUGGGACUGAGACACGGCCCAGACUCCUACGGGAGGCAGCAGUAGGGAAUCUUCCACAAUGGACGAAAGUCUGAUGGAGCAACGCCGCGUGAACGAUGAAGGCUUUCGGGUCGUAAAGUUCUGUUGUAAGGGAAGAACAAGUGCCGCAGGCAAUGGCGGCACCUUGACGGUACCUUG